UGCCCGGCGGGAAGUGGACCAAGUGGUCUUCCGGCAUGUUUUUAUAGGAACAAAAAAAAAAAAAAACCCAACUGGUUAAAAGGAAUUAUGAAGCGGCUUUUUGGGGUGCUUUCCUUGUAGUUGGUUUUCUUUCCAUUCUCACUUCGUUCUUUAUUGUUUCUCUUUCGAGUGCUGCAAGUUAGUUCAGUUUAUGAAUGGAAAGUCCCAAGACUUUCAUAUACAGCGAGAUAUCGGUUCCUACCGCUGACAUGAUAUAUAUAAAAUCCCAUCCGUGUCAUGUCUUCUUAUAUGAAUCAAUAUCAAUCUAUGUAUCUUAAUAUUGGUUGAUGUAUUAUAAUUAAUAUAUGAAAUAUUUUUUAAAAUAUUUUUGCUAUUUUAAUUUUUUUUUAAAUAGUGAUGCACUUAAAUUAAUGUUUUAAAAUAAUUCAGUGUUCCUAUCGAGUCCAUGGAUGAUCUAACUUCUUUCCAUUUUUUGGCCAUACCAUGGAUGGUAAGGAAAGAUUUUAGUAAGGUAGGAGAGUAGAUAUUUUAAACUAUUUUUGACUGGUUUGAUACGUGAAAAGGAUUUCUAUUUACUGAUUUUUUUUUUGAAAAAAUAAUUUUUGGGCAUAUAAUACUUGAGAAAAUGAUUUUGAUAUGUUUAGUUGAUUAUAAGAAAGUGACACAUUUGAAAGUAGUGAGAAUUUAUUUAUUUUGUUUUGAAAAGAUUGUAUGAAAUAUUUAUUAUACUUUUAAUAAAUGAAAGAAUUUAUCCAUGGAUCUUGAUGACUUAAGAGUACUUUUGAAAAAAAACAUGUCCCAAUUUUAGUAAAAAAGUAGUUUUAUUAUGGCUUCCAUAAUUUUUUUCAUAAAAUAUGUAAUUAUUUUUAUUUCUAUAGAAAUAUUAUUUUUCUAUUUCUCUUCAAUCAAAUAAGAGAUUUUUUUUUUUUUUGCUUUUCCAUUGACCAUAUUUUUUUCUUUCUUUUUUCAUAAACCAAAUAAGUUCUCUUAGUAAGAAAGCAUUUAGCAUGCAUGUGAAGUUUGAGAUUCCAAAAAAAAUUUGGAAAAAAAUAUGUUAUUUUAAAUAGAAGAUUCUGACCAAAAAGAUUUGGAAAAAAAUAUUAUUUUAAAUAGAAUAUUCUGACCACCAAGAAGGUGACGAUGGAUCCGUUUGAGAUUCCAAGAAGGUUUGAAAAAAAGAAACAUGUUAUUUUAAAUAGAAGAAUUUGACUACUAAGAAGGUGAUGAUGGGGAUAAAUUUGCGAAAAGUUUGUGAUUGCUUCUUGAAAGAUAAGCUCAAGAGAGAGCAGGAUUUUAAUAUGCAAUCCUCCAAUGGGGGAUGAUUCUGACUUUUAAUGGAAGCGUUUAAUUUUCCCUCUAAGAUCAAAUGUAAGCAAUUGGGUAUAAUGGUGCUAAAAAAUAGAAAAGAAAAUAUUAUACAUCACUUGCCAAAUUCUUUGAUUUGUUUUAUUGGUUCAUUAUUCAUCUUCAGCAGCAUUUUAUUUACAUAUGAAUGGUAGAAAGCAGAAAGAUGAUUGAAAUCACAAACACAUAGAAAUGUGAAGUAACCUUUGCACAAACUCAAAUGAUUCACAUGAUUUGAAGAUAUUCUCAGCUAUCUUUAUGGUCCUUGCUUGUUCUUGCAGAUCGCUUGUUGAAGCAUAGAAUGACUCAUCUAUUUGUUUCCUUCAGAUUACAAUGUGCAGCAGCUUCUUAAAUUUGUAACCCAUUGCAACUGCAGAAUAACUACAGCUAUAGGCUUUUGACGAAAAAGAAAUGGAGUCGAACAUGAAAUCGGUGCAAAAAAGUUGAUACAUACUUCUACUGAUCACAAAACAGAGUUUGUGCGAACAGCAACUGCAGCAGUGAUAAUUGGGCUUCAUAGGAUCUCUUGCCAUGCUGAACAACUUUGAAAAAAAAGAUAUAAAAAGAGUCUAAUUCUGACAAUCAUAUGGAAUCCAACUACUCUCUCUUGCUGAUAUCAAGUAGUCAUUCUUAUAACAACCAUAUGAAAAGCCACUUCCUUUUGCAUAGCGUCCGGCCAUUUUCUAGCAUUCUGCAAAUGAGGAUUUGGAAUUAAGCAAAUCAAAAGGUACAACUUAUUGCAGCAACAGUAAUGGCUAUAGGUUGGAUCAUUUUGUAAUGUACAAAAUUCUGAGAUGUAAGAAUCUUGCGUUAUUUCUCUUUUUUAUAAAAAAAAGGAAAGUAAUGUGGCCAAAACUUCUGAAUAAAGAUACAGCUCAUGCAUGCUUUAUCUUAAUUGUAAUACCAACAAUUUGCUGAACAUAGAAUUGAAAACCCAUAUUUCUGGA